GGAUUAGAUACCCUGGUAGUCCACACCGUAAACGAUGAUUACUAGAUGACGGUUUCCCUUGAGGAGAUCGGUGUCGAAGCUAACGCGUUAAGUAAUCCACCUGGGGAGUACGGUCGCAAGGCUAAAACUCAAAGGAAUUGACGGGGGUCCGCACAAGCGGUGGAACAUGUGGUUUAAUUCGUCAAUACGCGAGAAACCUUACCUGGAUUUGACAUGUUUCUGACCACUCUAGAGAUAGAGUUUUCUAAGUUUACUUAGACAGAUUCACAGGUGCUGCAUGGCUGUCGUCAGCUCGUGCCG
rnacentral:rRNA from 1 species